CAGUCGCCGCGGUAAUACGAAGGGGGCUAGCGUUGUUCGGAUUUACUGGGCGUAAAGCGCACGUAGGCGGACUUUUAAGUCAGGGGUGAAAUCCCGGGGCUCAACCCCGGAACUGCCUUUGAUACUGGGAGUCUUGAGUUCGAGAGAGGUGAGUGGAAUUGCGAGUGUAGAGGUGAAAUUCGUAGAUAUUCGCAGGAACACCAGUGGCGAAGGCGGCUCACUGGCUCGAUACUGACGCUGAGGUGCGAAAGCGUGGGGAGCAAACAGGAUUAGAUACCCCAGUAGUCCCUGUCUCUUAUAA
rnacentral:rRNA from 1 species